rnacentral:lncRNA from 1 species
GAUAUAAAAAACAUAAUAUGUUGCAUUAGUAAGGAACAAGAAAAAGAACCUACAAGGGUAUGUGAUCUGAACAUUGGUAACAUCCUUAGUUAUAGAUUUCAAGAAAAUCUCAGAUGGUUUAACUCGAGCUAAUAGUCGCAAUCCCUUUUUGCUCUUUUUCUCAUCGUUUCCUUGGUUUCCUGGUUAUGGGUUCUUUGAUUUUGGACCUCUUUUAUCCAUUUGAGAGUUUUAAGACGAAGAACAAACAAGAACUGGCUUGGCUUCAGUAGGGAAGAAACACAGAGUUGAAUAAGCUUUUGGGUUUUUUUCUUGGAUCUGGGAAAUUAGGGAUUUUAGGGGGGAAAGUUAGGGAUUUCG